AGAGUUUGAUUAUGGCUCAGGACGAACGCUGGCGGCGCGCCUAACACAUGCAAGUCGAACGGAGUUAAAGGAGCUUGCUCUUUAACUUAGUGGCGGACGGGUGAGUAACACGUGAGCAACCUGCCUUUUAGUGGGGGACAACAGUUGGAAACGACUGCUAAUACCGCAUAACGUUGCGAGGAGGCAUCUCCAUGCAACCAAAGAUUUAUCGCUGAAAGAUGGGCUCGCGUCUGAUUAGAUAGUUGGUGAGGUAACGGCCCCACCAAGUCGACGAUCAGUAGCCGGACUGAGAGGUUGAACGGCCACAUUGGGACUGAGACACGGCCCAGACUCCUACGGGAGGCAGCAGUGGGGGAUAUUGGACAAUGGGGGCAAACCCCUGAUCCAGCGACGCCGCGUGAGGGAAGAAGGUUUUCGGAUUGUAAACCUCUGUUGACAGGGAAGAAAAUGACGGUACCUGUUCAGAAAGCCACGGCUAACUACGUGCCAGCCGCAGC
rnacentral:rRNA from 1 species